rnacentral:rRNA from 1 species
UACGUAGGCAGCGAGCGUUGUUCGGAGUUACUGGGCGUAAAGGGUGUGUAGGCGGUUCUCUAAGUCUGGUGUGAAAUCUCCCGGCUCAACUGGGAGGGUGCGCCGAAAACUGGAGGGCUAGAGUGCGGGAUGGGUAAGUGGAAUUCCUGGUGUAGCGGUGAAAUGCGUAGAGAUCGGCAGGAACACCCAGGGGGAAACCAGUCGACUGGGCAUCUACUGACGCUGAGGUGCGAGAGCGUGGGGAGCGAACCGG